GGAUGUGAGGGCGAUCUGGCUGCGACAUCUGUCACCCCAUUGAUCGCCAGGGUUGAUUCGGCUGAUCUGGCUGGCUAGGCGGGUGUCCCCCUCCUCCCUCACCGAUCCAUGUGCGUCCCUCCCGAAGCUGCGUGCUCAGUCGAAGAGGACGGCCUUCCCCCCACCCCAGGAGAGGACCGGUCUUCCGUCAAGGGUAUACGAGUAGCUGCGCUCCCUGCUAGAACCUCCAAACAAGCUCUCAAGGGCAGAAUGCCUGUGUUGUCGCCAUGGUGAUGAUGCAAGUGUCCCACCCU
rnacentral:snRNA from 1 species